rnacentral:sRNA from 1 species
AUUUAGCCCCGAUUGAAGCAAUUGUUUGAGCUCUUUUUUUUGAUUUUUCUUCAAAAAAAAAGCGAGUGCGGAAAGCGGGAAAUAGC